CGACGGUGGUGCGCGAGGCGGGGGGAGGACGUAGGGGGUAAGCGUUGGCCGGAUUGAUGGGGGGGAAAGAGGUCGUAGGUGGUUUGGUAAGUCGGAUGGGAAAUCGCCAGGGUCAACCUGGAGGGGGCAUUCGAUACUGCCAUGACGAGAGGUCGGUAGGGGAGUGUGGAAUUCCUGGUGGAGCGGUGAAAUGCGCAGAUAUCAGGAGGGACACCCGUAGCGAAGGCGGCACUCUGGGCCGAGUCUGACACUGAGGAGCGAAAGCGUGGGGAGCGAACAGGAUUAGAUACCCCAGUAGUC
rnacentral:rRNA from 1 species